CAGUCGAACGAAGCACUUUAUUUGAUUUCCUUCGGGACUGAUUAUUUUGUCACUGAGUGGCGGACGGGUGAGUAACGCGUGGGUAACCUGCCUUGUACAGGGGGAUAACAGUUGGAAACGGCUGCUAAUACCGCAUAAGCGCACAGCAUCGCAUGAUGCAGUGUGAAAAACUCCGGUGGUAUAAGAUGGACCCGCGUUGGAUUAGCUAGUUGGUGAGGUAACGGCCCACCAAGGCGACGAUCCAUAGCCGACCUGAGAGGGUGACCGGCCACAUUGGGACUGAGACACGGCCCAAACUCCUACGGGAGGCAGCAGUGGGGAAUAUUGCACAAUGGGCGAAAGCCUGAUGCAGCGACGCCGCGUGAGCGAAGAAGUAUUUCGGUAUGUAAAGCUCUAUCAGCAGGGAAGAUAAUGACGGUACCUGACUAAGAAGCACCGGCUAAAUACGUGCCAGCAGCCGCGGUAAUACGUAUGGUGCAAGCGUUAUCCGGAUUUACUGGGUGUAAAGGGAGCGCAGGCGGUGCGGCAAGUCUGAUGUGAAAGCCCGGGGCUCAACCCCGGUACUGCAUUGGAAACUGUCGUACUAGAGUGUCGGAGGGGUAAGCGGAAUUCCUAGUGUAGCGGUGAAAUGCGUAGAUAUUAGGAGGAACACCAGUGGCGAAGGCGGCUUACUGGA
rnacentral:rRNA from 1 species